CUCCCCCGUGACGUCAGUGAGGUUCACGAGUAUUAAAGCGCGCGAGUGGGCGGACUGAAUAACAGAGUGUUUGUGUCGCAGUUGAAGAAAACUAACAAUGGUGCAACUUUCUAAAACUGGAGCGAGAGACUCGCUGAAAGCUGGUCAUCCUCCUGCAGUGAAAGCGGGAGGAAAAAGAGUCGUGAAGAAGAGCGCUGAUGAUAACGCCAAUGUGGAGAAAGAGGGCAAGAAACUGGACAAAACCAGGUCCCUGCCGACCCCGUCCAGAAUGCAGCAUCUGAGUCUUCUCCUGGCUGGUCCGCUUGAGAAGUUGGGUCAUGAUUUCCCCGAGACUCCAGUUUCUGUGCGACACAGCCGAGUCAGACCGAGCGCAGAGAAACCACACGUCCCGCGCAUCUCCUGCAUUCAACAGCCGCGCAAGUUUUGAGCCAAGGUGGCCUCCGUUGCUGAGCUUCUGACGACAUGACAUACAGGAAGUGCGUUUGUAGUUGGGUCAUGAUUUCCCAGAGACUCCAGUUUCCGUGCGGCACAGCAGAGUCAGACGAACGUGGAGAAAAUGAGAAUUUCACAAAAUGAGACUUUCAUACCAGUAAAUUCACUUUUCCAGCAAAUGAAAGAUGGUUGUAGUUUCUUUUCAUGACCGUUAGGUGGCGGUAGAAUCCUUUUAAGUAGACAUGACUUUUGCAGUUACUCUUACAAGCCUGUGAAAUUGCCUUCAUUUAGUUUAAACUUUAGUCAUUCUUGUUGUGCAGUACUAGCACUUUAACACAAGCAUGUACUAUUAAUAAUAAAUUACAGAUUUUAUAAGGAAAUGUUUCUAUAAAAGGGUUUAUCAGAGAAAUAUGGUUUGGUCAUACUCGGAUGCUUAAUUCUAACUUAUUUACACAAUGACAAGAAAAUAAACACUUCAUAAAGAGCUAUAGUUAUUUCUCUUCGAGAAAUUUAUGUUAGCUAUAAUUAUCAGCUAUGCUUUUAAGCUUAAUAUAUCCUAUUCUGUACAAGACACUAAAAGGAUGAAAAGUAAUAUUUCGAACACAGGAAAUGAUUUAAAAUUUAUCCUAAUGUUUACCUCAUAAAACUAAAGAUUUCUGUGAGUUUUGUAUAUAAAUGUUAGAAGUACUGUAUAUUAGGAAUGACUUUCCUCCCCUUGAUGUGCUUUAAUCUUCCUCACUGAUGUUUCUCAUAAAACAUGAUCGUUUACA